UAACCUUCUCUCCAUUUCGUUCUUGCUGAAAUCUUCUUGUUCGACUUAGUUAUGGGUUUGUGUUCUCAAAAUUGGAAUUCCCAAAAUUGAAAUCCCUUUGCAAAGCCACUCGUUCCUUCCUCACGCUCCACCGUUGUAGCCUCCAACUGUGUGCUCUCGGUUCGCAUUCGUCAACGGUUGCCGACUCAUCACAGCGAAAGGAGGACAGGAAGAAGAAUUUAGCUCUCGCUCCCUUUACAAAGUCACUCGCUGACAAAAAAGCUAUGUAAGAAAUCGAAGCUCAUCCACAAAGCGUCGAGUCUACUCCUUAUCUUCUCCUCAACCUGUAAACCGUUGGCACUGCUGUGCUCACGCCUCUAGGAAGUUGCUUUGCCUGAUUAAAACAAGUUCUGUUGCAAGCAGAAGAGGAACUAAUGAAAAAACGUUCUUCCAAGCUUACCAAUGAGGCAGCUGCCCCAAAACCUAAGAAAAUUGUUGGCAAGAUGAAGGUGCUUUAAGGGCAUCUGCAUUUAAUUGUUUGUAACUAAAACAUUUUGAUUGUACUUAUCUGUAGUAUUGAUUGGAUAUUUGUUUCUUCCAGUUUAUCUUCCUUUUUAGUUAUGGAUUAGCCAACUUGUUAUUUUUUUCUUUAAUUUUCCAACAUCCUUUCCUCUCUGUCCAUACAUGUCAUUGGAAACAUAUGCUUGCAUGCUGAGGCUGAAAAGUUCAACUGAAGAAAACAACAUAAGAAUGCAGCCAGGAUCUGGUGAAACACAUCUCUUCUUCCUAGAUAGUUUAGGAGAUGAACUAAUUGUUGAAGUUCAAGACUCCAAGGGGAAGCAUUUGGGUCGUGUCUUUGUACAAGUGGCUGCUGCUGCUGAAGAUUUGACUGACGAGUUGCGCUAGUAGUCUAUUUACCGUGAGCCAGAACAUGAACCUGUAGGCAAGCUUCAGCUGUAUAUAUGCUACUCAACUUCAGAUGAUAAUAGUCAUCUCAAGUGUGGUUAUGUUGCAGAAACAGUUGCUUAUGACCUUGUCUUGGAAGUUGCAAUGAAGGUUCAAUGAUUCCAACAAAGAAAUUUAUAAUUAUAUGGAUCAUGGAAAUGGUUGUUAACAGAGUUUGCCUUGUAUUAUGGAGUUUCCAAUGUCUACACCAAGCUAAGGUCUGGCAUCUGUACAUUUUUUACAUGUAUCUUUCUUAUGUAAUGGAUGUGGCCACGCCUACUGCUGACUGUCUGGGAUUGGUGCAUGAAUUGUUAGUGCCAGUUGUUAUGAAGGGCCAUACUAAAGGAGCAUUGACUCAUUAAGAGUUGUUAUGUUGCAUCGUAAUGGGUAUCAAGAAUACCACAUAUUUUAUAUUCUGUUUAUUACUAUGUGCAAAAUAAAAUGAA